GUGUAAAACAAAGUUCGGAAAUGACAAUGUAUGCAAAUAUUUUCGUCCUAAAUAAAUUAACAUGCUAAUUUGCCGAACCUCACACGAAGAAAGUUCGACUUUUUUGUGUGCAACAUUUCGACUUGUGUGUGAGAGGUUCGUAUUCUGUGUGUGACAUUUCGACUUGUGUCUCUGGACUUGUGUCUCUGGACUUGUGUGUGAGAGGUUCGGCUUAUUUGCGCGUGGUUUGAAUGUCUUUUGUGAGCGUUUCGUAUUACAUGUGUGAAAGCUCGUAGUGUUUACAAGCAUAAUAAGGACUUAAUUGCGUGCGUGUUCAUAAUUUUGGCCCUUUUGGAUUCCCAUACUAUACCGCGGAUUCGCUGGUCACGACAUCUUCUUUUGGCGUUAUGGAGCAAUG